rnacentral:rRNA from 1 species
UUAUCACCGAGUGCUUGCACUCACCGAUACAUAUUUGAGUGGCGAACGGGUGAGUAACACGUGGGCAACCUGCCCAAAAGAGGGGGAUAACACUUGGAAACAGGUGCUAAUACCGCAUAACCAUAGUUACCGCAUGGUAACUAUGUAAAAGGUGGCUAUGCUACCGCUUUUGGAUGGGCCCGCGCCGCAUUAGCUAGUUGGUGGGGUAAAGGCUUACCAAGGCAAUGAUGCGUAGCCGAACUGAGAGGUUGAUCGGCCACAUUGGGACUGAGACACGGCCCAAACUCCUACGGGAGGCAGCAGUAGGGAAUCUUCCACAAUGGGCGAAAGCCUGAUGGAGCAACGCCGCGUGGGUGAAGAAGGUCUUCGGAUCGUAAAACCCUGUUGUUAGAGAAGAAAGUGCGUGAGAGUAACUGUUCACGUUUCGACGGUAUCUAACCAGAAAGCCACGGCUAACUACGUGCCAGCAGCCGCGGUAAUACGUAGGUGGCAAGCGUUAUCCGGGUUUAUUGGGCGUAAAGGGAACGCAGGCGGUCUUUUAAGUCUGAUGUGAAAGCCUUCGGCUUAACCGGAGUAGUGCAUUGGAAACUGGGAGACUUGAGUGCAGAAGAGGAGAGUGGAACUCCAUGUGUAACGGUGAAAUGCGUAGAUAUAUGGAAGAACACCAGUGGCGAAAGCGGCUCUCUUGGUCUGUAACUGACGCUGAGGUUCGAAAAGCGUGGGUAACAAACAGGAUUAGAUACCCUGGU